rnacentral:rRNA from 1 species
GGGUUGUGAGGUUAAGCGACUAAGCGUACACGGUGGAUGCCCUGGCAGUCAGAGGCGAUGAAGGACGUGCUAAUCUGCGAUAAGCGUCGGUAAGGUGAUAUGAACCGUUAUAACCGGCGAUUUCCGAAUGGGGAAACCCAGUGUGAUUCGUCACACUAUCAUUAACUGAAUCCAUAGGUUAAUGAGGCGAACCGGGGGAACUGAAACAUCUAAGUACCCCGAGGAAAAGAAAUCAACCGAGAUUCCCCCAGUAGCGGCGAGCGAACGGGGAGCAGCCCAGAGCCUGAAUCAGUGUGUGUGUUAGUGGAAGCGUCUGGAAAGGCGUGCGAUACAGGGUGACAGCCCCGUACACAAAAAUGCACAUACUGUGAGCUCGAUGAGUAGGGCGGGACACGUGGUAUCCUGUCUGAAUAUGGGGGGACCAUCCUCCAAGGCUAAAUACUCCUGACUGACCGAUAGUGAACCAGUACCGUGAGGGAAAGGCGAAAAGAACCCCGGCGAGGGGAGUGAAAAAGAACCUGAAACCGUGUACGUACAAGCAGUGGGAGCACAGAGCAAUCUGUGUGACUGCGUACCUUUUGUAUAAUGGGUCAGCGACUUAUAUUCUGUAGCAAGGUUAACCGAAUAGGGGAGCCGAAGGGAAACCGAGUCUUAACUGGGCGUUAAGUUGCAGGGUAUAGACCCGAAACCCGGUGAUCUAGCCAUGGGCAGGUUGAAGGUUGGGUAACACUAACUGGAGGACCGAACCGACUAAUGUUGAAAAAUUAGCGGAUGACUUGUGGCUGGGGGUGAAAGGCCAAUCAAACCGGGAGAUAGCUGGUUCUCCCCGAAAGCUAUUUAGGUAGCGCCUCGUGAAUUCAUCUCCGGGGGUAGAGCACUGUUUCGGCAAGGGGGUCAUCCCGACUUACCAACCCGAUGCAAACUGCGAAUACCGGAGAAUGUUAUCACGGGAGACACACGGCGGGUGCUAACGUCCGUCGUGAAGAGGGAAACAACCCAGACCGCCAGCUAAGGUCCCAAAGUCAUGGUUAAGUGGGAAACGAUGUGGGAAGGCCCAGACAGCCAGGAUGUUGGCUUAGAAGCAGCCAUCAUUUAAAGAAAGCGUAAUAGCUCACUGGUCGAGUCGGCCUGCGCGGAAGAUGUAACGGGGCUAAACCAUGCACCGAAGCUGCGGCAGCGACGCUUAUGCGUUGUUGGGUAGGGGAGCGUUCUGUAAGCCUGCGAAGGUGUGCUGUGAGGCAUGCUGGAGGUAUCAGAAGUGCGAAUGCUGACAUAAGUAACGAUAAAGCGGGUGAAAAGCCCGCUCGCCGGAAGACCAAGGGUUCCUGUCCAACGUUAAUCGGGGCAGGGUGAGUCGACCCCUAAGGCGAGGCCGAAAGGCGUAGUCGAUGGGAAACAGGUUAAUAUUCCUGUACUUGGUGUUACUGCGAAGGGGGGACGGAGAAGGCUAUGUUGGCCGGGCGACGGUUGUCCCGGUUUAAGCGUGUAGGCUGGUUUUCCAGGCAAAUCCGGAAAAUCAAGGCUGAGGCGUGAUGACGAGGCACUACGGUGCUGAAGCAACAAAUGCCCUGCUUCCAGGAAAAGCCUCUAAGCAUCAGGUAACAUCAAAUCGUACCCCAAACCGACACAGGUGGUCAGGUAGAGAAUACCAAGGCGCUUGAGAGAACUCGGGUGAAGGAACUAGGCAAAAUGGUGCCGUAACUUCGGGAGAAGGCACGCUGAUAUGUAGGUGAAG